GCAUGUCUUAUGUCGGACGGAACUGCCCUCCUUGUUCUCUCAUUAGUGUCCGGUGUAGCAUUUUCUCGUGCAUGUUGAUGACGGUAGUAUGCAUAACGACGCCAAACUUUUCACUAUGAGUGUCGUCAUGGUAUACCUAUGGCCGAGCAUUUUUCCACUGGUUCUUCAACCGGUGGAUUUUAAUAUUGCUACAGAAGUGGAGAAUUGCUCCAUGCAUAUCUUCAUGAUUUGUAAGUUUCUAUCCUUUAUGUUAGUCUUGGUUAGUUUUAUGCAGUUGUCUACAUUUUUAAAGAAACGUCACGAGUGGAACGUACCGCUACACGGUUGGAUUCUUUCUCUCUUAUCAUAUCGACCUUACCAGUUUCGUGAAGUUGUACAGAUUUGAAAAUUUGUUUGGAGCUUCUGAUUCAAUUUUGGCUGUUAUUCGCUCUUUUUCAAAUAUCCCAGUGAGAAAUUGGGUAAGAUGAAGUGGCAAUACUCGCUCGUAUUAGGAGUAGCCUACUUGCUUCUGCUGUUCAAUUUUGACUAAAUAUGUGGUUAAGCGAGAAGAUGUUGGUCAUUCUAGGCAUACUGACAUGAAAGGAAAAGGUUGUAGUCUAGAUUGAUUGUAUUCACCCUCUUCUUCUAGCUCUGCUCUCUUCAAACUACCGCGUAACCAAGAAAAUGGUAGACCCAUAGUGUAUUCAAAUUCUCUUUUCAAUCAUUCGUGUCUCAUCUAUUUUUUGAGCAAUCCAUAUCUCAUCCUUUUGCAACAAUGAUGUGGUAAAAAAAUGUCGUAAUCAUCUAAAAGUAAGAUGAAACAAGUAUAAAAUUUUUAUGAAAAGGAAAAGAUGAUCGCUAUAGUAAUGAAAGUUGCUUUAUUAAAAGGUAAGUAAAUUAUGAAAUUAAAUGCAGUAAUCGUUGAUUUAUGUAAUCAAAACUAAUAAAGUAACAUGAUUUCAUUUUGAGAUAAUAGGAUUGGAGGUCUUGCUGUGUGGUUAAUUACUUUCAAAAAAACAGUUAUAAAAUUCUGUAAUCAUGUAGAUUAAUAGAUUAAAUAUAAAUUUAUUUUACGAUUUAAAAUUAAAUUUUCAAACUAACCAAUAAAUGAAGAUUGAAACUUAUAUAUAUGAUUCAUCAAUAAUAAGACUUCCAAAUUACAUUAGUUGGGUAUAUCUCCGCAUAUAAUCACUUGAUUUUCAUUUUUACCUUUAGUAAAAGCAUUAACAUCUUUAGGGCAAAAGUAGUCAACUGAUCACAAUUCCGUUCCCGAAAUCUUGUCAUAUAUUGGAAUACAAUUUUGAUUAAGACGAACAAUCAAAGCUCAUAAUUUACUAGACAAAACUGUUAACAUUAUACUUAUGAACAGCCUUUGUGCAAAGAACAUCCUCACCGAUUUCACAAAAGCAUAACCAUACAAGACCAACUUUUUUUGUCUUGCUUCUAGGUAUUUCAAUUUUCUACACUUCUUCUUGGAUAUUUUUAGACAUUGAUUAGUAAGGUCUAAUCAAUAAUUUGAUUUUGAUAACAUCGUUUCAUGAACAUAAAACCAAAAUUUGCAUGAUGUCUAGCAUUAUAAAAAUGAUCCAAAUAAAAGGUUGUCCAUCGAACCAUCUCAUGUGAUAUUUAACAAUGAUCAUAUGAACUAAAUACCAACUUGAAAAAAAUAAGAUGAAAUUAGAAGUUUAAUAUGCAUUUGAAUGAGAAUUUAUGAUAGCCACUUACAUUUAUGAUGUUUCCAAAAUAAUUUUUAAAAUCUUAUAACAUAAUUUUUUUUGAUAUUUAUAAAGAGAUAAUAUCUUCUGUGAGUUCGAAUUUUGCUAGCCACUUUAUGAUACCUUAAGAAGCUACAAUUUUUUAUAUGUUGGAAAGUAUGUUUUUUAUCCAUAAGAUACUCUUAUAUUUUUUUGUAAUAUUUCAUAUCUAAGAUCAAACAAUAAGUAAAAGGGAAAUAUAUAUGAGCAUCAGCUAGCCUAUCCACGCAUGCAAAUUAAAUCAGCCUAUCAGAAUGCAGUUUAGUGCCACAUCAUUUAUAUAAAACAAACAAGACAUUCCACGUAUGACAAUAUUAAUACAACAAAAGAAACAAACAAAAAUAUACGCAACACUUCUUACGCAAAAGCCUAAAUUCAUCCAUCUUUUCGUCUUCCACCAACCUGUAACUCUUCCUACGUUAAGAUUUUUUUCCUCUUCCAAAUCAAUCGACACACAAAUCUCGAAUUCAAUCGAUAGUCAUCGGCGGUUUCGAACACCGACCAAUCAUAAAUCUCCACAACCUUUAACACUCCACCUUCUCCUACUUAAACAGAUGCUAUAUGGGUGUUUCAAAAAAAAAAAAAAAAAGUGUUUCAAAAAAAAAAAAACAGAUGCUAUAUGGAAUCUGAAACAACCCUAUCAUAUUAAGAAUUCCCCUCACUGUCCUAUUUAUAUCGUCUCCCAUCCAAAGAGAACCAGAAUAGAUUGAUCUACCAAUAAUCCAAAAUCACUCGAAGAUCAGGUGUUUAUCCUCAUCUUCAUACUUCCUUAUGUAUUGUCGUGGUCAUCUAAAAUUUAAUUUAUUCAGAUACAGUGAGAUUUGUGUAUGGGCUGCCAUGAAGAGAGAAUUAUUCACCGAAGCUUUUGCAAUGCUUUACGGUUGGUAUGAGAGCUAUACAGAGGCAACUUCAACAAUCUCCGUAUUGAAUGAGAUAUAAAAAAUCUCACGGAACAGCACUACUACAACUCAUUUGCUUAAAGCAGCACUCAAUGCAGUCCAUUAUGGGCAUGGCGGACUUCAGCUAAUUGUUGUCAGUUCGGUUAUGUACAUUCUAAUCACAUCAGAAUCAGGCGGUAAGACUGAGCAAUUCAUGAACAUGCUCCCGAUCAAUCCCUCCGCUAGCGUCAGAUGCGAUGAAGUCCUGGGCUUUAGCCAUCUCUGGUGUCCUUUUAGCCACAGCGGAGAUCGCAUUCUUCCAAGGAUGUCUCGCUUGGCUAUCGUUAGGCUAUACAAUAUACAUCCCCUUUAUCGGUGGACGGACUAUGUUUCCUUCUACUCUCGAGGUAACAAAAUAAAGAUUGGAUCUUCAAGAAUUUUAUGUUGGAGAUGUUAUAAUGUCUUUUUUGGUGUUUGUUUUAUUGGAGGGAGGAAUAAUGGGACUGUUGAUAACAACGGUGGUGAUUGCGUUGAAGGAUCUGUAUGCAGAGUUUGUUUUGAAUGAUCCCAAGAAGACCAAUUAGCUGUUGUGGGUUUCUUUAGUCGGAGCUUUCAAGUGCUGCCAUGGCUGCUGCUUUGUAUUGUGAGAAGGAUCAUGUAGAUCAGUCGAGAAAAAUAAAUAUUAUAAAUUGUUUAUGGUUUUAAUUUAGUCUUUUUCUUUGGAAUGUUAUGUAGUGUACAGCGAGAGAUGUGUAGUAUGAAAUUUCAAUUGUUAUGUUAUAUUGUAUGUGAUCUGAAUCUUCGAGGAAAACAUGUAAAAGUGUUUGCUGAUUAA